UACAGAGGUCCCAAGCGUUGUUCGGAUUCACUGGGCGUAAAGGGUGCGUAGGCGGUCGGGUAAGUCUGACGUGAAAUCUCCAAGCUCAACUUGGAAAUGGCGUCGGAUACUAUUCGGCUCGAGGAAUGGAGGGGAGACUGGAAUUCUCGGUGUAGCAGUGAAAUGCGUAGAGAUCAUGAGGAAGACCAGUGGCGAAGGCGGGUCUCUGGGCCGAUACUGACGCUGAGGAGCGAAAGCGUGGGGAGCGAACAGG
rnacentral:rRNA from 1 species